UACGUAGGGUGCAAGCGUUAAUCGGAAUUACUGGGCGUAAAGCGUGCGCAGGCGGUUUUGUAAGUCUGUCGUGAAAUCCCCGGGCUCAACCUGGGAAUUGCGAUGGAGACUGCAAGGCUAGAAUCUGGCAGAGGGGGGGUAGAAUUCCACGUGUAGCAGUGAAAUGCGUAGAGAUGUGGAGGAACACCGAUGGCGAAGGCAGCCCCCUGGGUCAAGAUUGACGCUCAUGCACGAAAGCGUGGGGAGCAAACAGGAUUA
rnacentral:rRNA from 1 species